ACACUGCCAAGGAAAAGGUUAUAUACUCUUUUCGAGUCUUUGGUUUACUUUUGACAUGGCAAAUGUUGGUGUAUUUUUGCCAUCUCAGCAUUCACGAGGCUGAGAGACAAGGGGAUUGUGAGUUCCAGUCCAGCUUGGGCUACAUAACAAGACCCUUUCUCAAAAAUAAAACCAAAACACCAUUAUUUAAGUAAAAUAUGCUCACAGAAAUAUUCGGCAGUCAUUAGCCACUCAGGGGACAUAGGUUUCGGAACACAUGGCCAGUGAUUCCUUGUAAGUUUGUCUAUACUUCUCCCCCGAAAUUAACCCCUCUACUCCCGUGUAGCACGAUUGGUUAAUUUUCACCUGUUUCUGGGUGAUAUACAAAUGAAAGUACUCAGUAUAUAUGAUUUUAAAUUUUUAAAAAUUACUGUGACAAAUGUAUUUGACAUAAGAAUUUACCAUUUCUCUAUUUUGAGCAUAUAGUUGGAUGGUACCAGUGUACCACCUGUCAAGCAACACUUCUCCAUUCUCUCUCCUUUUAGUCUCUGACCACUGCCCUUCUACUUUGUAUGAUUUUUGGAUAUUUUAACCACACUGUAUAUGCAGAGUCAUGCAUUUGUCCUUUGGUGACUGUUUUGUUUCACUUAGUAUAAUAUCUCCAAGGCUGCAGCAUGUAUAAGGAUGACUAAUAUGCCUUUGGCUGUCACACACUUCAUUUACACACGUGUUAGUGCAUGCCUCCAUGCUUUAACUGUUACAGUACCGCAAUGUACAUGUACAAAUAGCUUUUCAUGACUCUGGUUUCAGUUCUUUUUCCUAGACACCCCAAAACAGAAUUGCUGCAUCAUAUAGUAAUUCUGUUUGUAAAUUUUAAAAACCAGACCCUCACACAUAUGUGAAGGGGCCUUGGAAUUGGUAGAGAAUACACACAACCAAAUUCUCAGCACAAAGGAGAGUUAUUACCCAAGAGCAGGGGGGCGGUGACUGCCUUUGAAUGAGGCACAAACAGCAACAGAUGUGGCUGCAGAAGUGGUUUGUAAGGAGAAAAAAGGGGAAGACUGUGUUAGAGUGAGUUGGUAAGUCCUGAUUGAAUGUGUUGGCCAGUAUAGUCAAAUGAUAAAUUUUAAUUGCUGGACCUCGGUGUUUUCAUAACUAGACCCUGGAGUUUUAGUCAGGCAUAAGAAAGUAGCCAAAUAAGGGAAUAGACUUUGGUGUCUAGCUUUAGGAUUGUAAUCUAAUGGGUUAGCAUCAGAGGCAGCAGGCCAGAGGGCAAGGCUUGCCAUGCUCAGGCCCGCUGGAGAGUGCUGCAGUAGGGUCAGAUGAUCCAGGGCAGUGGUACCAAAACUAGUCAGUAGGGAAAGGAAAUGUCUUCUGAACGGAUGGUGAUGGGAAAUACUCAAGAGCGGGAGGCAGAACUCUCACCUAACAUACAUGCACGCACGCGUGCACGCACACACACACACACACACACACACACACACACACACACACACACUGACUUGAGAGAACCAUCCAGUGUUUAGAAGGAAAUAUGGAAGAAAAGCUCAUGCUGUUGGAUUCAACAGGGUCAAAACGCACAGUGUUGAGCAACGCAUGUUAAGAUGCUCAUCACUCGUGGUCAUUGACGAUGUGAAGAACAAAACUCAAGGAGAUACCACUUCUCGCCCAUUCGGAAGUCUCCUGUUAAGACCAAAAGUAAAUGACGUUGAGAGAGAGGAGAAGCUGGACCUCACAUGCCCCGCAGUAGAGAUAGAAGAUGCUGCAGCCUCUGCGGCCCCGGUUAAAUGUAUAUGUGAGUUACUAUUUUAAAUCAAGAGAAGCCAGUCAGCCUAACUGAGGAGUUUCAGGCCAGACAUGAGAUGUGUCAUUCAGGCUCCUUACAGACAGCUUUCUUCAAGUAUACCUCACAGAGCUGGGCAUUGGUGGCGCACGCCUUUAAUCCCAGCACUCAGGAGGCAGAGGCAGGCGGAUCUCUGUGAGUUCACGGCCAGUCUGGUCUACAGAGCGAGUUCCAGGACAACCUCCAAAGCUACAGAGAAACCUUGUCUCAAAAAAACUAAAAGCAAAAGGAUACCUCACAGCUAUUUCCGUGUCAGCACCGUGGCUCCUGCUUAGCCUUCAAGAAGCUACACAGCACAAGGCAGCCACUCCAGACUUCAGCCUCCACUGUCACAGUGUGGGGCCACUUUUGAAUAUUUUUGUCACUAUAGCCACUAAUGGCAAAAAAUCAUAACACUUAAGUAUUUAGUAUUAACUGGUGUAUUUACACUUCAACUUGAAAUUAAUUUCCAAUACAAAGACACAAAAACGUUAGUGAUUCAAGAAAAAUUGUGCAAUCUGGUAUUGCUGUCAAUAGAAUACAAAGCGUGUGAGAAAGUUGAUUACCACUCCCGAACAGAGUUUAUGAUGAAAUGGGGCCAAUAAAAAUGAU